GACGAACGCUGGCGGCGUGCUUAACACAUGCAAGUCGAGCGAGGCCCCUCCUUCGGGAGGGUGUCCUAGCGGCGAACGGGUGAGUAACACGUGGGCAACCUGCCCUCAGCUCUGGGAUAACUCCGGGAAACCGGGGCUAAUACCGGAUACGACCUCCACGGGCAUCUGCGGAGGUGGAAAGUUUUUCGGCUGAGGAUGGGCCCGCGGCCUAUCAGCUAGUUGGUGGGGUAGUGGCCCACCAAGGCGACGACGGGUAGCCGGCCUGAGAGGGCGACCGGCCACACUGGGACUGAGACACGGCCCAGACUCCUACGGGAGGCAGCAGUGGGGAAUAUUGCGCAAUGGGCGAAAGCCUGACGCAGCGACGCCGCGUGAGGGACGAAGGCCUUCGGGUUGUAAUCCUCUUUCAGCAGGGACGAAGCGAAAGUGACGGUACCUGCAGAAGAAGCACCGGCCAACUACGUG
rnacentral:rRNA from 1 species